GACGAACGCUGGCGGCAUGCUUAACACAUGCAAGUCGAACGGAGUGGCGAACGGGUGAGUAACACGUGGGUGAUCUGCCUUGCACUUCGGGAUAAGCUUGGGAAACUGGGUCUAAUACCGGAUAGUGCAAGAUGAGCUCGCGGCCGAUCAGGUUGUUGGUGGGGUAAUGGCCUACCAAGGGGUCGACGGGUAGCCGGCCUGAGAGGGGGUACGGCCACAUUGGGACUGCGAGACGGCUCAGACGCCUACGGGAGGCAGCAGUGGGGAAUAUUGUACAAUGGGCGGAAGCCUGAUGCAGCGACGCUGGGUGGGUGAUGAAGGCCUUCGGGGUGUAAACUCCUUUCGACAGGGACGCGGUACCUGUAUAAGAAGCACCGGCUAACUACGUGCCAGCAGCCGCGGUAAUAC
rnacentral:rRNA from 1 species